GACGAACGCUGGCGGCGUGCUUAACACAUGCAAGUCGAACGGUAAGGCUCCAGCUUGCUGGGGUACACGAGUGGCGAACGGGUGAGUAACACGUGGGUGACCUGCCCUGCACUUCGGGAUAAGCCUGGGAAACUGGGUCUAAUACCGGAUAGGACCAUGGUGUGGAUACUGUGGUGGAAAGUUUUUUCGGUGUGGGAUGUGCCCGCGGCCUAUCAGCUUGUUGGUGGGGUAAUGGCCUACCAAGGCGGCGACGGGUAGCCGGCCUGAGAGGGUGGACGGCCACAUUGGGACUGAGACACGGACCAGAGUCCUACGGGAGGCAGCAGUGGGGAAUAUUGCACAAUGGGCGGAAGCCUGAUGCAGAGACGCCGUGUGGGGGAUGACGGCCUUCGGGUUGUAAACUCCUUUCACCAUCGACGAAGGGUUUCUGACGGUAGAUGGAGAAGAAGCACCGGCUAACUACGUG
rnacentral:rRNA from 1 species